rnacentral:rRNA from 1 species
UACGUAUGUCGCGAGCGUUAUCCGGAAUUAUUGGGCAUAAAGGGCAUCUAGGCGGCUGAUUAAGUCUGAGGUGAAAACUUUCGGCUCAACCGAGAGCCUGCCUUGGAAACUAAUGCAGCUGGAGUACUGGAGAGGUGGACGGAACUACACGAGUAGAGGUGAAAUUCGUAGAUAUGUGUAGGAAUGCCGAUGAUGAAGAUAGUCCACUGGACAGAAACUGACGCUGAAGUGCGAAAGCUAGGGGAGCGAACAGGAUUAGAUACCCUGGUAGUCCUAGCUGUAAACGAUGAUCACUGGGUGUGGGCAGGGAGACUGUCUGUGCCGAAGCGAAUGCGAUAAGUGAUCCGCCUGGGGAGUACGGCCGCAAGGCUGAA